GAUGAACGCUGGCGGCGUGCUUAACACAUGCAAGUCGAACGAAGCAUUUAAGACAGAUUACUUCGGUUUGAGGUCUUUUAUGACUGAGUGGCGGACGGGUGAGUAACGCGUGGGUAACCUGCCUCAUACAGGGGGAUAGCAGCUGGAAACGGCUGGUAAUACCGCAUAAGCGCACAGUACCACAUGGUACAGUGUGAAAAACUCCGGUGGUAUGAGAUGGACCCGCGUCUGAUUAGCUUGUUGGCGGGGUAACGGCCCACCAAGGCGACGAUCAGUAGCCGACCUGAGAGGGUGACCGGCCACAUUGGGACUGAGACACGGCCCAGACUCCUACGGGAGGCAGCAGUGGGGAAUAUUGCACAAUGGAGGAAACUCUGAUGCAGCGACGCCGCGUGAGUGAAGAAGUAGUUCGCUAUGUAAAGCUCUAUCAGCAGGAAAGAUAGUGACGGUACCUGACUAAGAAGCUCCGGCUAAAUACGUG
rnacentral:rRNA from 1 species